GGAACCCGGCCGACAGAAGAUGGCGGAUGAGCAGCGUGCAGGGUUUUCUCCCUGUGGCUCACUCUCUCUUACUGUGCUGGGCGGUUGCUUCCUCUCCUGCUGCCCUUGGGAGUCAGACUCCAGGUUCUUCAGCCUGUGGCCCCUGGGGCUCUCGGGCCUUGGAGGACUGACUAGGAGCACACGGUGGGCCUCUCUGGUUUGGGGGCCUGGGACGUGGCGGAGCCCUGCAGCUUCUGUGCGGCCUGUUCUGGGCGUCGCGUUGAAACGCCAGCCAGUUCCCCAAAAAGAGCAUACGGGAGAGAUGAAGCAGUCCACUCCAAGAACAUUCUCAUCCUACGGAUUACGAGUCCCCCUGGGAUUACAGGAGUGUUGAAGAAAUGUUGUGACACAUCAGAACACCGCGAAAUACAUGGACACUUUCAAAUCAUGGAAGACUCAAGAUAACCUACAAACAUAAAAUACAGACAUCUGAUUGUAUAAAUUACUAUGACUUCUAAUAUUAUGGUCAGGAGGGCAUCUUUCUCGGCUCUUCACUGUGAGAACCUUGUGGGAUUCCUGAAGAUGAAACCAUGAACGCGAGGGAGUCUUGCUAAAACUGCAGCAUUCGAGAGGUUUUCACUCAUGCUGGCUCACACUUGUCCUCUAGCAAUUCAUCAAAAUUACCACGUAAGUGUUUCAACAGUUUAUGGCUCAGGUGGCCUCAGCUGUGAUGCUCCAAAUUUGCCUGUUUCUCCAGAUGCAGGGUAGCAGUUUGCUGUUUCUCCUGAGUUCUUUGAUGGAUUCAAGAAAAGUCAUGAUUUUCAGUUUGUUCUGAUUUUUUCUUGUGAGGGCAAAGUAAUGACUAAGCUUUAAUGUGUUUCAGCUAAAACUACAUGUAUUUUAAUAGCAAAAUGAGAUAUAAUUCACAUGUCAUAAAAGUCACCAUUUUUGGGUGCACAACUCAUUGGAUUUUAGUAUAUUCCAGGGUUAUGCAAGAAUAAAUAUUCUCUAAUUUUGGAACAUAUUUAUCUACUCAGAAAGAAACUUUGUGCUCAUUAACAGUUACUUAAUAUUCUCUCUCCCCUAACCUAUGGUAACUACUAGUCGACUUGCUAUAGAUUAGGUUACUUUGGAUAUUUCAUAUAUGUUGAAUCAUAAAAUAUGUGCCUUGGCUUCUUUCACUUACCGUAAUAUUUACAAAAUUCAUUCAUCUUACAAAGUACUUCAUUCUAUUUUUGAUUUUAUGGGUUAAUAAUAUUCUACUGUCUGGCUAUAUACAUGUAUGAAUAAUGUGGCAACAUUUUGUCCAUACACUCAUCAUGUGAUUAGUAUUUGCUUUGUUGUUGUUGUGUGUUUUUUAUUUUUCAGUUAUUAUGAAUAAUGAUUAUGAAUUCAGUUAUUAUGAAUAACUACAAUAAAUAGUUAUGCAUAAGUUUU
ensembl:lncRNA LINC01446 long intergenic non-protein coding RNA 1446